AUGGCGGCGACCGCGCUCCGGAUCGGCGGCCGCGCCGUCCGGCCAUCGCUGGCCGCGGCGGCGGCGCAGCAGAACCAUCCCACCACCUUUCGGCUCUUUCACAGCACGAAGGCGGCUGCAACUCAUUCGGCUGAGAUCCUGCAGGUCAAAGAGGAGCUCUACCGCAUGAUGUCCGAAAACAGGGACAAGAUAGGAAAUCAGAAGGGCCUGAUCAAGCACCUCUCAUCCCAUGUGGAGCCUAAACCCGAGGACCCCGUCUGGUAUGAUCUUGAGCCCGGUAUUGUUCUAUAUGCCUGUUACAGUCUUGGUUUACAAGGGCUCUAA
rnacentral:rRNA from 1 species